CCGUGUUCAUGGCGAUUUGGAGUUCAUCCGCCCCAGGAUUUUGACGGCAUCCUCUUCGUUCUCGUCGCCCGCGGCUGCGCUGGUAGUAUCUCAAUGGGUAGACUGCGGAAAGUCUCUCGCAAGGAUGUUCCCCUAGUUUCUUCAGUCGAGAGCGCUGAUUCUUUGAGAGACCCUUAUGUGCCUAAUGAUUUUGCUGAUGAUGGUUCUAAUGCUAUGUCUUUGGGAGGUUGUUCUGGUGAUGAUGAAGAGUUUGAUAAAGCACUUUACAAUUUCUAUCCGAAUAAUUAAAGUACCUGAAGAGAAAAUUAUCAUCUGCUGGCAGAAGGAAUGUUUGUAAUCCUGUCAGGUGCUUUUGACGGGUCAAGGAAAGGACAGUAGGGCGACUGGUUCAACCUUUUUGUCGCUGUUAGUUGCUUGACGGGUCACAAAUACAGCCCGAUCCGUUUUCUUCUGUAAAAGCAGACAUACAGCUGUCAACAGAUUAUUGGUUGGAAAAUUUGAAUGAUAACCAAUUACAAAUCAGUCAAUUGUUGAAUAGAC